rnacentral:rRNA from 1 species
AGCGAACGCUGGCGGCAGGCUUAACACAUGCAAGUCGAGCGGGCGUAGCAACACGUCAGCGGCAGACGGGUGAGUAACGCGUGGGAACGUACCUUUUGGUUCGGAACAACACAGGGAAACUUGUGCUAAUACCGGAUAAGCCCUUACGGGGAAAGAUUUAUCGCCGAAAGAUCGGCCCGCGUCUGAUUAGCUAGUUGGUGAGGUAAUGGCUCACCAAGGCGACGAUCAGUAGCUGGUCUGAGAGGAUGAUCAGCCACAUUGGGACUGAGACACGGCCCAAACUCCUACGGGAGGCAGCAGUGGGGAAUAUUGGACAAUGGGGGCAACCCUGAUCCAGCCAUGCCGCGUGAGUGAUAAAGGCCCUAGGGUUGUAAAGCUCUUUUGUGCGGGAAGAUAAUGACGGUACCGCAAGAAUAAGCCCCGGCUAACUUCGUGCCAGCCGCCGCCGUAAAAC